rnacentral:rRNA from 1 species
CAGUAGCCGCGGGAACACGAAGGGUGCAGGCGUUACUCGGAAUUACUGGGUGUAAAGCGUGCGUAGGUGGUGGUUUAAGUCCGUUGUGAAAGCCCUGGGCUCAACCUGGGAAUUGCAGUGGAUACUGGGUCACUAGAGUGUGGUAGAGGAUAGUGGAAUUUCCGGUGUAGCAGUGAAAUGCGUAGAGAUCGGAAGGAACAUCUGUGGCGAAGGCGACUAUCUGGGCCAACACUGACGCUGAGGCACGAAAGCGUGGGGAGCAAACAGGAUUAGAUACCCGGGUAGUCCCUGUCUCUUAUAC